CCAGCCCUCGUCGAUGAGGACGUAACCCCAGCCGUUGCGGGCGGCGAAGUCGAUGUACUGCCGCUGGCGGUUCUGGUCCGACGGGCUGGA
rnacentral:tRNA from 1 species